UUCAUGUUUCUUCCUCAGCCAUUGUCUCCAUCAAACUUUUUGCCUUGCCUCCCUGAAGCUCAUCCACAUGGUGUCCCUGAACCUCACCCACAUGGUGUACCUCAAACCCUGAACCUCACCCAUAUUGUGUACCUCAAACCCUAGCCUGCUGUCUCAAAAUUAUUAGGUUAUACGCCAUCAAUAGUGUUUUCACACGCGCAUCCAUACUCACCUUGUCAAACAGGAUUUUGUAGUCUAUGAUUAGGAACAACUAUCCCAAAAGCUGAAGCUUUUAGAUGGAGGCAAAACUCUUGAGGAACUUGAAGCUAUACGUAAAGAUGUCGUCUUGAAAUACACUAAAGGCCUAUGUUGGGUGACGCACUAUUAUUAUGAAGGCGUUUGUUCUUGGAAUUGGUGAGUUCCUUUUCUAGCUUUAAUUUUCCUGGAGAACUGUAUGAGCCUGAAAUUUUGUUGGCUUUCAUUUACCUUUAAUAUGGCACUUGUGAUAUUUUUCUCUUUUCUCACCUUGGAUGAUUAAAUUUGGGAUGACGUAAUUUAAGGUGUUGAAUACUUGGUUUUAAGACUAGUUUGGUUGAAACUGAAAUUGUGUGAUGCAUGCUGGUGACUUUGUUCCUUGCCCGUCUCUCCUUCCCUUUUCUGUCUAUUUAAUAUUCUUUUUACCUUGGUGAGUAUAGACACAUUUUGUUAAUUGGAUGUAUCUAUAAGACUAUUGCAAAGGUGUUAUCAAGGAAGUUAGAAGGGGUACUCAAUACAUUGAUGAGAGGUAAGGGGCUUUUAUUAGGAGGAAGGAGCAUGCUUGAUGGUGUUGUUGUGGAAAACGAGGGGGUGGAGGAGGCUAAAAGGUGGUGGAGGAGGUGGAAAAAUUUUCAGGAUCUUACUAGUACGGUUACAUUGAACAAGCAUCACGAUGACUUGUGGAGAUGGAAGCUGGAUUCUUCGGGCCUAUACUCUGUGGCCUCUGCAUACUCUAUGCUACAACGCACACUCACCAAAUCUGACAAUUGAAAACUUUUACAAGCAUCUUUGGUAGAUCAAGACCCCGCCACCGGUGGAGAGCUACACUUAAUAGGCUACCAACGAAGCUGAAUUUGAAGAAAAGAAGGGUGUUGCUGAAAAAUGAUCUUGGAUUAUGCUUGUUUUGUGGCAAAGAUGUGGAGUCAGAGGAACAUUUAUUGCUAACUUGCUGUGUAACAGAGAGGAUCUGGAAGCACUGGUGUAGCUGUAUUGGUUCUCAUGUGGUUAUGCCUAAUGAUCUGAGAACACACUACUGGCAGCACCCCUCGAUGGUGAGAGGGAAAUUGGGAGGUAUGGCUUGGACGAUGGUAUCGUUUACCAUCAUCUGGUGUGUGUGGAGAUUGCGAAAUGAUAUGAUAUUUAAUCAUGUGUUAUCUUUCCAUGGUAUUUAGGAUGAAGUCUUGGGUAUGGCUGUAUCCUAAAGUGGAUGGGUUUAAUUACUUGUUUGCUGAAUGGGUGAUCUCACCAGGUGAGUGCAUUUUGAAUCUUGAUAGCUUUAGGCACAAUUAGCUGGGUGGUUAGAUUUUAGUGUUGGAGGUAUAUAUAUUGAAUUUCUUUCAUAUAUAUAUAUAUAUAUAUAUAUAUGAAAGAUUUUUUUUUUCUUUUAACAAAAGAAAAUUACAUUCCUAGGUGAGUGCAGUUUUAGGUACUGAGGAAAAAUAAUUGGUUAUGUUUUGUUUUUUUAUCUCAUUUUGUUUAAGAAGCUAUGGAGUGGUCUAAAUUUGUUCACUAGUUAAUUCCUUCCAGGCAAGUGACUUUCUCCAAGAGAAGCAAAGGGUUUUUCAAGAAGGCUCUGGAAUUGUCAGCCCUUUGUGAUGCACACAUAGCUCUCAUUGUUUUUUCUACAACUAGCAAGCUCUUUGAGUAUGCCAGUUCAAGUAUGCAUCAAGUAAUUGAAAGGCGCGAUAACCAUUCAACAAUGCAUAGACUGGAUCGCCCCUCUAUUGAGCUGCAGGUUUUAUCCUUAUCACCAUGCCCCCUUUGCAUCUGAUCUCAAAGGCCUUGGUGAACUUGAUAUUAGCUUUAGGCUGGGUACCCCAUUCAAACCAAUUGAUAGGGGUCUUUCCUGCUGCAAGCUCUCAUUCACUUCCUGAGCCGUAUAGGAGACUUAUGACAGAUCCAAACUCACCAAUCAUUGAUUUUUAUCUAAUUGACUUUGAAGUGGACAUGAAUAGCAAACGCUUUGCUUGGCAGGUUCAAUCUUAAUUUACCUUUGCCUUUUCUAGAGAUGGUUGCAUCAUAGCUCAAUAGUGAACGGGCUGUGGUCAAGGAAAAAAUCAACCCUAAAGAAAGCAAGACUUGGAAAUAGCCAAAAGAACACAUGAAGAACAUGUUUCAGAGUUAGAAUUGCAAGCUACUGAAUCUGAAGCUGAAUAUGAAAAAAGAAUAGAGGGACUUAAGCUUCAUCUUGUAGAUGCAAGAAUGCAAGUGAAGGAACUAGAGGCAUUUUCCGAAUCCAGAUUUUUGAAAUGGAAGAAUAAAGAGGAUACCUAUCAAACUAUUGUAAAUUUCCAAGUUGGAGCUUUCUAGGAACUGAGAGCUGCCAUGAAGUCUGUCAAAGAUGAUGUGAUAAAAACAAAAAGAAACUACUUAGAGGAAUUCAAGUACUUUGGAAUCAAGUUGAAAGGUCUAGCUAAGGCUGUUGAAAAUUAUCAUGUAGUUAUAGCUGAAAAUAGGAAAUUGUAUAAUGAAGUUCAAGAUUUGAAAGGUAUGUAUUAUAUGGUGCUUAUAUGAAGAUU